GCCCGGAUGGCGCAGUGGUCGUGCGCCUAGGUCUCAAAUGCCAUCAUCGAACCUAAUAGGUCUCGCUACGCUAUUUAACCCUGUGAUGUGAGGUUGCUGGUUCGAAUCUAGCUUUAGGCA
rfam:Oidiodendron maius Zn unplaced genomic scaffold scaffold_9, whole genome shotgun sequence.